rnacentral:rRNA from 1 species
ACAGAGGUGCCAAGCGUUAGGCGGAAUCACUGGGCUUAAAGCGUGUGUAGGCGGACUGGUUAGUACCUUGUGAAAUCCCACGGCUCAACCGUGGAACUGCUCGGUAUACUGCCGGUCUUGAGCCACUUAGGGGCUGUCGGAACAAACGGUGGAGCGGUGAAAUGCGUAGAUAUCGUUUGGAACGCCAAUGGUGAAAACAGACAGCUGGGAGUGUGCUGACGCUGAGACACGAAAGCCAGGGGAGCGAACGGGAUUAGAUACCCCGGUAGUCCUGGCCCUAAACGAUGUCGACUAGGUCGUGGCGGCUCUGACGCCGUCGCGGCCGAAGCAAAAGUGCUAAGUCGACCGCCUGGGAAGUACGGUCGCAAGGCUA